UAAAGGGAUAGUGCACCCAAAAAUGAAAAUUCAGCCAUUAUCUACUCACCCAUAUGCCGAGGGAGGCUCAGGUGAAGUUUUAGAGUCCUCACAUCACUUGCAGAGAUCCAAGGGGAGAGGAGGCAGCAACACAACUCCACCUAAUGGAGGCUGACGGCGCCCCAGAUUCAAACGUCCAAAAACACAUAAUUGAAACCACAAAAUAUCUCCAUACUGCUCGUCCGUAGUGAUCCAAGUGUCCUGAAGCCCCGACAUAAAAAGUUGUUUGGAAAAACGUCAUUUGAACUCUGUUUUUAGCCUCAUUGUAGCCUGUAGCUCUGACUGCCUCUCUGGGCACUGCAAUCACGUGUUUGUGCACCAGUGAAUGUACACUAGUAGAGUGCAUAAGACAUACAGUAUACAGUAUGUGUAUAUGUGUGUACAUAUAUGUGAUGGUCCAAAGCGUUUUGGUCUUGAGGCUUCCUGUCAGACUACAAACACUCGCUGCUCCCUGGAGGAACACCUGAACCCCCAACACACCUCCACCUCCUCCAAUCCCACAAUCCUCCCCACCACCACCACGUACCCAUCAACCCCCAGGAGAGCUGCUGUCACACACACUGACAGCCUCUGUGGGUGUGUGUGUGUGUGUGUGUGUGUGUGUUCAGCAGGUGUCUGUGCAUGCCUCACAUUCACUUUCAAAUCCACUUCAGUGACAGAAAAAAAACAUACUGUAUAUCUGUGUUUCUGAAAUCGUCAAGUAUUGAAACGGUUACGUAGAAAUAUUCCAGAGAGGAAACAGAUCGCUUCCGACAGCUGCUCCUCCUCCUCUCAGUCAGUCGUUGGUAGAUUUCUGAGGCUGCGUAAAGCUCUUCAUGUUUCUGAUUUACUAUCUUUCAGAUAUAUUGAAGGGAACAGAUACUGAUCAGAUAUUCAGUAUUUAUCAGGACUCAGAGGAAAAAGCAGCUCUGAUCUGUCUGCACAUGAAUCUCUAACAAACUGCAGCUAGUUUACCUCCAAAAAAUCAGUGUGGAUUUCUGAACACACACUGGUUCACAAUUAAAACACAGCCUUUAAUUUAAAAUGUAUUUCCUAAUUUUAAAAAUAGUUUUGGCUCUGAAACAAGUUGGUUUACCUUUGAUUUAUUUCUGACAUGAAGUGCAUCAGUUCACUCUAAAACAUCUUUUUUAAAAUGGUUUGUUUUUAUACAGACGUCUUGGUUUACUACUGACGGGCAUCAUCUCUGUAUGAAAUCCACUGCUGUACCUUCAGAGAAAUGUUUCCUUUAACUCACAGACUGUGUCUCAAAGUGUUCAAACAUGUAAAGAUUCUUAAAGCUGCGCUGAUCAAUAUUUUUCACAACUAUGAUGAAAGGACUCGCUCACAGUGAGAAACCCACUGACGGUUCUCUCCGUCUUUGCAGCUCUGUGGAGCGUUUGAGCCUCUUUUAGCUCCUAGUUUUGGGCACAUUUCCUGCCCGGUUUGAGCUCAGCUGUUGUCGACAAACGAGCUCAGAUAAACCCUCUGUGCUCGACCCGCUGUCGAUGUUCUCAGGAGUGGUGGAGGCCAAAACAGAGCUAAAAUAGAGAGAUUACAGGACUUAUAUUCAUCAGGUGACACAAACACUGAUGAUGAUGACAACGUGUGCUCUGUUGCUAACCUGUUUGACAUCAUAACUUUAUUAGGUAAUAUGUCGGAUGGUGCAUUUACAAGUUGCUCUGCUGCCCCCAAGUGGCCAAAAAUACUAAUUAGUGCAGCUUUAAGAG